UCAGAGGGUCGGGUAAUCGCGGAAGUCUUUCAAGACUUUCCGAGGAAAGUCCGGGCUCCAUUGAAGCAGGAUGCCGGAUAACAUCCGGCGGGCCAGUUUUCGGACUGGUUCAGGGAAAGUGCAACAGAAAGCAAACCGCCCUGAUUGGUCAGGGUAAGGGUGAAAAGGUGCGGUAAGAGCGCACCGCCGGUCUGGCAACAGGCCGGGCAUGGUAAACCCCAUCCGGAGCAAGACCAAAUAGGGACGGCCUAUGGUGAGCUUCAACACCGCCGUCCGGGUCGGUCGCAUGAGGUGGCGGGUAACCGUCAUCCCAGAUGAAUGAUUACCACCCGAAAGGGGACAGAACCCGGCUUACAGACCCUCUGACGCC
rnacentral:RNase_P_RNA from 1 species